ACAACAAUGGUAACCUUAUUAAAAUGCACAUACAGAGUUACUCAUAAUUUCAAUGGCUCCAUUUGCAGCAUCAUCAGCACUAGUCUUGCCUGGUCUAAACUGAACGGUUCCAUCAGGAUUUUUGGUGUGGCCAGUAAAGAAUCUGAUCAAAAGGACAACCAACACCCCAAAAGCUCCAGCAACUCCAACGAUACCGAUGAAAGUUGCAAUCCCAUUUAAACGAACCUAUCAGCAGUCAUUCAGGGAUAAUCAUAAUGCAUAGCAUGUAACUGAAAAUCACAACUGAGAUAACCAACCUGCAUGGGUGUUUCUUCACCAGUGUCUUCU
rnacentral:misc_RNA from 1 species